rnacentral:lncRNA from 1 species
UUAAAAAUAACCAGAAAAGAGAAAAUUCACAAAAAAUAGAAAAUGACAAAAUAAAAAAUAUUAAAAAUCAGAAAUAGAAACUAGAAAUUAUUUGGAGACAAAUGCAAUUGGUCCCAUAAUUUUUGGAUUAAAAUUAAAAGAGAUAUGGAUUUUAGAAAAUGAAAUGUAAUUAAAAAUGAAAUAGAAAAUAAAAUCAGAAUUAAA